CGGUAGCAGGAAGUGCUUGCACUUUGCUGACGAGUGGCGGACGGGUGAGUAAUACUUAGGAACAUGCCUUUGUGUGGGGGAUAACCAUUGGAAACGAUGGCUAAUACCGCAUAAUGUCUUUGGACCAAAGAGGGCUUUCGGGCUCUCGCGCAAAGAGUGGCCUAAGUGAGAUUAGCUUGUUGGUGAGGUAAAGGCUCACCAAGGCGACGAUCUCUAGCUGUUCUGAGAGGAAGAUCAGCCACACUGGGACUGAGACACGGCCCAGACUCCUACGGGAGGCAGCAGUGGGGAAUAUUGCACAAUGGGGGAAACCCUGAUGCAGCCAUGCCGCGUGUGUGAAGAAGGCCUUCGGGUUGUAAAGCACUUUCAGUUGUGAGGAAAGGUUAACGGUUAAUACCCGUUAGCUGUGACGUUAGCAACAGAAGAAGGACCGGCUAACUCCGUGCCAGCAGCCGCGGUAAUACGGAGGGUCCGAGCGUUAAUCGGAAUUACUGGGCGUAAAGCGCACGCAGGCGGUUUGUUAAGCUAGAUGUGAAAGCCCUGGGCUCAACCUGGGAAUUGCAUUUAGAACUGGCAGGCUAGAGUUUUGGAGAGGGGAGUGGAAUUCCAGGUGUAGCG
rnacentral:rRNA from 1 species